GGGGGUGACCUGGCUUCGACGCUGGUUGCGAACCCUGAGGUGCAUGCCGAGAGGGUAGUAACUCUCGUAAAUAAAUUGCUGCAACUUUUAUAGUUGCCAAUGACGAAAACUACGCACUAGCUGCUUAAAUCCGCCUUUUAGGCAAAGUUUAGGUUAGCUUGACCCGGGGCGAAUUUGCC
rnacentral:tmRNA from 1 species